rnacentral:rRNA from 2 species
AGAGUUUGAUCCUGGCUCAGAACGUACGCUGGCGGCACGCCUAACACAUGCAAGUCGAACGAAGUAGCAAUACUUAGUGGCAGACGGGUGAGUAACAUGUGGGUAUCUGCCCUUUGGCCUGGAAUAACACGAGGAAACUUGUGCUAAUACCGGAUAAGUCUUUACGGAGAAAGCUUUAUGCACCAUUGGAUGAGCCUGCACUUGAUUAGUUUGUUGGUGGGGUAAUGGCCUACCAAGACUGUGAUCAAUAGCUGAUUUGAGAGGAUGAUCAGCCACAUUGGGACUGAGACACGGCCCAAACUCCUACGGGAGGCAGCAGUGGGGAAUCUUGCACAAUGGAGGAAACUCUGAUGCAGCGAUGCCGCGUGAGUGAAGAAGGCCCUUGGGUUGUAAAGCUCUUUCGUCGGGGAAGAAAAUGACUGUACCCGAAUAAGAAGGUCCGGCUAACUUCGUGCCAGCAGCCGCGGUAAUACGAAGGGACCUAGCGUAGUUCGGAAUUACUGGGCUUAAAGAGUUCGUAGGUGGUUGAAAAAGUUGGUGGUGAAAUCCCAGAGCUUAACUCUGGAACUGCCAUCAAAACUUUUCAGCUAGAGUAUGAUAGAGGAAAGCAGAAUUUCUAGUGUAGAGGUGAAAUUCGUAGAUAUUAGAAAGAAUACCAAUUGCGAAGGCAGCUUUCUGGAUCAUUACUGACACUGAGGAACGAAAGCAUGGGUAGCGAAGAGGAUUAGAUACCCUCGUAGUCCAUGCCGUAAACGAUGUGUGUUAGACGUUGGAAAUUUAUUUUCAGUGUCGCAGGGAAACCGAUAAACACACCGCCUGGGGAGUACGACCGCAAGGUUAAAACUCAAAUGAAUUGACGGGGACCCGCACAAGUAGUGGAGCAUGUGGUUUAAUUCGAAGAUACGCGCAGAACCUUACCAACACUUGACAUGUUCGUCGCGACUCUAAGAGAUUAGAGUUUUCGGUUCGGCCGGACGAAACACAGGUGCUGCAUGGCUGUCGUCAGCUCGUGUCGUGAGAUGUUGGGUUAAGUCCCGCAACGAGCGCAACCCUCACUUUUAGUUGCCAUCAUUAAGUUGGGCACUCUGAAAGAACUGCCAGUGAUAAGCUGGAGGAAGGUGGGGAUGACGUCAAGUCCUCAUGGCCCUUACGUGUUGGGCUACACACGUGCUACAAUGGUAUCUACAACAGGAAGCAAAACUGCGAAGUUAAGCAAAUCCCUAAAAGAUACCUCAGUUCGGAUUGCACUCUGCAACUCGAGUGCAUGAAGCUGGAAUUACUAGUAAUCGUGGAUCAGCGUGCCACGGUGAAUGCGUUCCCGGGUCUUGUACACACCGCCCGUCACACCAUGGGAGUUGGUUCUACCUUAAGGCAAGGCUUUAAACCCUUGACCACGGUAUAGUCAGCGACUGGGGUGAAGUCGUAACAAGGUAACC